GCCUAGCCCUAAACAUUGGCAACACCCUACAUCUGUUGCCCGCCAGGAAACUACGAGCAUUAGCUUAAAACCCAAAGGACUUGGCGGUGCUUUAGAUCCACCUAGAGGAGCCUGUUCUAGAACCGAUAACCCCCGUUCAACCUCACCCUUCCUUGUUAGACCCGCCUAUAUACCACCGUCGUCAGCUUACCCUGUGAAGGCCCCAUAGUAAGCAUAAUUGGCACAGCCCAGAACGUCAGGUCGAGGUGUAGCGUAUGGAGGGGGAAGAAAUGGGCUACAUUCUUUAACAGAAAGAAUACGAAUGAUUGACUGAAAUGUCUUUCCGAAGGAGGAUUUAGCAGUAAGCAAGAAAUAGAGAGUCCUGCUGAAAUUGGCUCUGAAGCGCGC
rnacentral:rRNA from 1 species